rnacentral:lncRNA from 1 species
CUCAGCCGCCUCAGCCGCGGUCGCCGCCGCUUCGGCUGACUUAGGCUCCGCCGCCGCCUCCUCACCCGCCUCGCCCCGACCCCGCCCGGGCCUCCCGGCCUCUCCCCGCCGGCCCGCGGGCUCGCCGUCCGGCGCAGGGCAGCACAUUGGAGAUAUAUUUCCACAGCAUCUGGCUUUUCUUGUUCCUGUUCUGAAGUAAAUGUAACUGCUAUCCUCUGGAGGACUGUCUACAAGAGAGAAGCUCCCCACGUGGUUCCGUGUAAAUACCUAGGAGUGGGCUUUUCUAGAUCACAUGAUGGACAGUGUGUCACCCUCGGGGAGCAGGUGGGCUGGCAGGACAGGCGGCCCCAGGCCGGGAGAAGGAGACACUCCCAGACAGCACAAGUCAGUCUUCUGGUGAUUGUAACAGGAUGGUCACCUGAGAACAGUCAUCUACUGACACCCUGAACCAGAAUCUCCAGAAAAGACAGAAAUUUUGAAACAGCAGCAACAACAGAAAUUCAUGAUGUGCUAGGAGACAGGGAUGACUGCAGUCAGAGGACCAGAUGUCUUGAUUGAUUAUUAAGAGAGAGAAACAGGCGAUGUUUGUGGAAUCACAUCACCACAGAAGACAUGCAGACAGGCCUAAUGCAGAGAAGAGUGGAAGUUAGGACGCUCAGCGCAGAUUAAUGGACUCAGGGAGUUGGAGAGGGCUGGCUGGCAGCACUUACUCAGAGGAGCAGAGCCAGGUAUCCCCCUCAAACCCCCCGGCUUUGGGCCCAGGCAGUCAGAAGUUGUGUCGGGGCCAGCCACCAACUCCAGUGAGGGACAGGGAGCCACUUCCAGGAGAUGAAACAUUGUCACAUGCAGUCCAAAGACACCCCUCCUUCUCCCUGCUGCAACACCCGAGGCUGACCAAAGUAGACAGGAACAGUAUCCAGGAUGAGCAAACCAAGCCUCUCUAAAGCAAAACUGCCAACAAGCUGGGAACCACAGCACGCUGGAGGGAAACCAGCAGCAGGAGAAAGCAGCAGCAAGCACAGCAGAAAGAAGACGUGGGGCCGCCUUCCGGACGGAGACUCGGUCAGACACACGGCUCCUUCAAAGGGAGUGCCAAAGGCCUUGAAGAGUAGACGGUCAAAGUGGCACAGCCAGGAAAGCAGGACUCACAGAAUGGGCAGCAUGAAGAGUUGCAUAGCCACGGACUAUUGAGAACGCAGACCCAGAACUGUUACCGCACUCAGACGUCAAAAACCGAGAGCUAUUCCCGAGCACAGACCGAGGACCAGCGAGUCCAGGACUCGCUGAUGCAGAGCUCCAGGACUGACAGGCGGGGAGAGCGAGAGGAAAAGCUGAGGCCAAGCGCGAUGCUGAGAAGCUCCAUAUUCUGUUUAACAGGAGUCUGAGGACCAGGAAAGAGAGAAUAUUGAGGGGAAGAUAAUGGAGACAUCCUAGAAGAUCGUCUCCCCGAGCACAGAGCGCAUCACAGGACUGACCAGUAUUGAGUGGGCGCGGGGAAAACAUGGCUGCCAGGACCUGUGAGGACCGAGUUUCAGAUACUGUGGACAGCGGAGACUCCACAGGGGCUCUGCAGGAGGAGACGGGAGGCGAUAGCCCCUGCAAAGCUCUGGCUGGUGAUUGGCAUCAGACUUCUCAAUGAGAAACUGUACUCUAGAUUUAAUUAGAACAGUAUCUUCAAAAUACUCGGGAAAAAUGAUUUCAAACCUGGAAUUGUAGACACAGACAGACUAGAAUUCAAAUUGAAGGGCAAAGGAAAAGUGUCUUCAGAUAGUGAAGGACUCAGAGGUUACCAGCCUCAUCCCUAAUACCCUGACAAAACUAAAAAAAAGACAACUAUCUAUGAAAGAAAACAAGUUUUGAUUCCACAAAUAAUGGAGAGGAAAGCAUCCAGUGUAACAUGUACUAGUCUAAAUCACUGUUGGUGUAUAUUGGUAUGCAAAUUAAAAUACUAUUUGAAAUAAAAAUCUCAAGCAUAUGUAUCUGUAUAAUGAUGAGAAGGAGAAAAAUGAAAGCUUACUAAACUUCAGGGUUUUUUUCAGGGGAAAUUUAUAGAUGCUACUCACGCCCGUAGUAUAGAAAUGAAGGCUUAAAUGGAUUAAUGAUUUACAAGGAACCAUUGUAAAUGAUUUACAAGGAACCCUGGCUCUACAGAAAAUUUACAAAUUAGCUGGAUGUAGUGGUGCGUG